rnacentral:sRNA from 1 species
UGAUUAGACAGGAGUCGAGGUCGCUGC